rnacentral:lncRNA from 1 species
ACAUUUCUAGCUGAUACAAGUGGGACUAAUAUUUACAUUACAUGCAUUUUUCAUGUAAAGUAGUAGCAUUUCGAAACCUCCUGCUCAUUGUCCUAACACUGAAUCACAAGCUCCACAAGAAACAACUCUCCAUCCCUUAAAAGGCUCACCAUGAUAAGUAAAUAGAAACUAUAUAGAGGAAUACAUCUUGACUAAUGGUAGACUCAAUGACAAUAUCAAUAUGUAUUGGCGACACUUAAAAAUUAUGAACAAUGUCGAGAAUAACUGAAAAAGUACAGAGGAAUUCAUAUAUUGACUACUUGUAGAUUCAAUGAAAACAUCAAUAUGUAUUGGUGACAUUUAUAAAUUUUCUGAAUAAUUCCAAGAAUAGG